GGGUUGUGAGGUUAAGCGACUAAGCGUACACGGUGGAUGCCCUGGCAGUCAGAGGCGAUGAAGGACGUGCUAAUCUGCGAUAAGCGUCGGUAAGGUGAUAUGAACCGUUAUAACCGGCGAUUUCCGAAUGGGGAAACCCAGUGUGUUUCGACACACUAUCAUUAACUGAAUCCAUAGGUUAAUGAGGCGAACCGGGGGAACUGAAACAUCUAAGUACCCCGAGGAAAAGAAAUCAACCGAGAUUCCCCCAGUAGCGGCGAGCGAACGGGGAGGAGCCCAGAGCCUGAAUCAGUGUGUGUGUUAGUGGAAGCGUCUGGAAAGGCGCGCGAUACAGGGUGACAGCCCCGUACACAAAAAUGCACAUGCUGUGAGCUCGAUGAGUAGGGCGGGACACGUGGUAUCCUGUCUGAAUAUGGGGGGACCAUCCUCCAAGGCUAAAUACUCCUGACUGACCGAUAGUGAACCAGUACCGUGAGGGAAAGGCGAAAAGAACCCCGGCGAGGGGAGUGAAAAAGAACCUGAAACCGUGUACGUACAAGCAGUGGGAGCCUCUUUUAUGGGGUGACUGCGUACCUUUUGUAUAAUGGGUCAGCGACUUAUAUUCUGUAGCAAGGUUAACCGAAUAGGGGAGCCGAAGGGAAACCGAGUCUUAACUGGGCGUUAAGUUGCAGGGUAUAGACCCGAAACCCGGUGAUCUAGCCAUGGGCAGGUUGAAGGUUGGGUAACACUAACUGGAGGACCGAACCGACUAAUGUUGAAAAAUUAGCGGAUGACUUGUGGCUGGGGGUGAAAGGCCAAUCAAACCGGGAGAUAGCUGGUUCUCCCCGAAAGCUAUUUAGGUAGCGCCUCGUGAAUUCAUCUCCGGGGGUAGAGCACUGUUUCGGCAAGGGGGUCAUCCCGACUUACCAACCCGAUGCAAACUGCGAAUACCGGAGAAUGUUAUCACGGGAGACACACGGCGGGUGCUAACGUCCGUCGUGAAGAGGGAAACAACCCAGACCGCCAGCUAAGGUCCCAAAGUCAUGGUUAAGUGGGAAACGAUGUGGGAAGGCCCAGACAGCCAGGAUGUUGGCUUAGAAGCAGCCAUCAUUUAAAGAAAGCGUAAUAGCUCACUGGUCGAGUCGGCCUGCGCGGAAGAUGUAACGGGGCUAAACCAUGCACCGAAGCUGCGGCAGCGACACUAUGUGUUGUUGGGUAGGGGAGCGUUCUGUAAGCCUGUGAAGGUGUACUGUGAGGUAUGCUGGAGGUAUCAGAAGUGCGAAUGCUGACAUAAGUAACGAUAAAGCGGGUGAAAAGCCCGCUCGCCGGAAGACCAAGGGUUCCUGUCCAACGUUAAUCGGGGCAGGGUGAGUCGACCCCUAAGGCGAGGCCGAAAGGCGUAGUCGAUGGGAAACAGGUUAAUAUUCCUGUACUUGGUGUUACUGCGAAGGGGGGACGGAGAAGGCUAUGUUGGCCGGGCGACGGUUGUCCCGGUUUAAGCGUGUAGGCUGGUUUUCCAGGCAAAUCCGGAAAAUCAAGGCUGAGGCGUGAUGACGAGGCACUACGGUGCUGAAGCAACAAAUGCCCUGCUUCCAGGAAAAGCCUCUAAGCAUCAGGUAACAUCAAAUCGUACCCCAAACCGACACAGGUGGUCAGGUAGAGAAUACCAAGGCGCUUGAGAGAACUCGGGUGAAGGAACUAGGCAAAAUGGUGCCGUAACUUCGGGAGAAGGCACGCUGAUAUGUAGGUGAAGCGACUUGCUCGUGGAGCUGAAAUCAGUCGAAGAUACCAGCUGGCUGCAACUGUUUAUUAAAAACACAGCACUGUGCAAACACGAAAGUGGACGUAUACGGUGUGACGCCUGCCCGGUGCCGGAAGGUUAAUUGAUGGGGUUAGCGCAAGCGAAGCUCUUGAUCGAAGCCCCGGUAAACGGCGGCCGUAACUAUAACGGUCCUAAGGUAGCGAAAUUCCUUGUCGGGUAAGUUCCGACCUGCACGAAUGGCGUAAUGAUGGCCAGGCUGUCUCCACCCGAGACUCAGUGAAAUUGAACUCGCUGUGAAGAUGCAGUGUACCCGCGGCAAGACGGAAAGACCCCGUGAACCUUUACUAUAGCUUGACACUGAACAUUGAGCCUUGAUGUGUAGGAUAGGUGGGAGGCUUUGAAGUGUGGACGCCAGUCUGCAUGGAGCCGACCUUGAAAUACCACCCUUUAAUGUUUGAUGUUCUAACGUUGACCCGUAAUCCGGGUUGCGGACAGUGUCUGGUGGGUAGUUUGACUGGGGCGGUCUCCUCCUAAAGAGUAACGGAGGAGCACGAAGGUUGGCUAAUCCUGGUCGGACAUCAGGAGGUUAGUGCAAUGGCAUAAGCCAGCUUGACUGCGAGCGUGACGGCGCGAGCAGGUGCGAAAGCAGGUCAUAGUGAUCCGGUGGUUCUGAAUGGAAGGGCCAUCGCUCAACGGAUAAAAGGUACUCCGGGGAUAACAGGCUGAUACCGCCCAAGAGUUCAUAUCGACGGCGGUGUUUGGCACCUCGAUGUCGGCUCAUCACAUCCUGGGGCUGAAGUAGGUCCCAAGGGUAUGGCUGUUCGCCAUUUAAAGUGGUACGCGAGCUGGGUUUAGAACGUCGUGAGACAGUUCGGUCCCUAUCUGCCGUGGGCGCUGGAGAACUGAGGGGGGCUGCUCCUAGUACGAGAGGACCGGAGUGGACGCAUCACUGGUGUUCGGGUUGUCAUGCCAAUGGCACUGCCCGGUAGCUAAAUGCGGAAGAGAUAAGUGCUGAAAGCAUCUAAGCACGAAACUUGCCCCGAGAUGAGUUCUCCCUGACUCCUUGAGAGUCCUGAAGGAACGUUGAAGACGACGACGUUGAUAGGCCGGGUGUGUAAGCGCAGCGAUGCGUUGAGCUAACCGGUACUAAUGAACCGUGAGGCUUAACCUUACAACGCCGAAGCUGUU
rnacentral:rRNA from 1 species